rnacentral:rRNA from 1 species
UGCCUACGGGAGGCUGCAGUGGGGAAUUUUGGACAAUGGGGGCAACCCUGAUCCAGCCAUGCCGCGUGAGUGAAGAAGGCCUUCGGGUUGUAAAGCUCUUUCGGCCGGGAAGAAAUCGCACGGGCUAAUACCCUGUGUGGAUGACGGUACCGGAAUAAGAAGCACCGGCUAACUACGUGCCAGCAGCCGCGGUAAUACGUAGGGGGCGAGCGUUAAUCGGAAUUACUGGGCGUAAAGCGUGCGCAGGCGGUUGAGGAAGACAGGCUUGAAAUCCCCGGGCUCAACCUGGGAACUGCGCUUGGGACUGCUAAGCUAGAGUACGGCAGAGGGGGGUGGAAUUCCACGUGUAGCAGUGAAAUGCGUAGAGUUGUGGAGGAACACCGAUGGCGAAGGCAGCCCCCUGGGCCGAUACUGACGCUCAUGCACGAAAGCGUGGGUAGCAAACAGGAUUAGAUACCCCUGUAGUCU